rnacentral:rRNA from 1 species
GGACUACCCGGGUUUCUAAUCCUGUUUGCUCCCCACGCUUUCGCGUCUCAGCGUCAGUACCGUCCCAGCGAGCUGCCUUCGCCAUUGGUGUUCCUCCUGAUAUCUGCGCAUUUCACCGCUACACCAGGAAUUCCACUCGCCUCUUCCGGACUCUAGCCUGACAGUAUCCACCGGCCUUCCAGGGUUGAGCCCUGGACUUUUACAGCGGACUGAUCAGGCCGCCUACACGCUCUUUACGCCCAAUGAUUCCGGACAACGCUUGCACCCUACGUAUUACCGCGGCUGCUGGCAC